AGAAGCUGCGCGACGACGACGAGGAGGGGUACCUCGAGCUCGUGCGGCAGUCCAAGAACAAACGGCUCAUGGAGCUGCUCAACAAGACAGACGAGUACUUGAAGGAGCUCGGCGCCAUCGUCCGGGAGGAGCGGAGGAAAGGCACCAACGACCAAGCCAUGGACGAGGCGG
rnacentral:snRNA from 1 species